rnacentral:snRNA from 1 species
GUCGCUUCUCGGCUCUCUGAGUAGUAUAUGUUCUUUGCAGUGUAAUUUCUGCAACGGUCUCUAAACUGAGACCAAUGAAAUUACCUGUAUUUUCACUUCCGGACGGGUGCUGUGACCUUGCUCAACCCCGUCCACGGGUCGGCCUCGUAAUGCAUUGCCUCGAGGAUUAACCCAUUAAAA